rnacentral:rRNA from 1 species
ACGUGGUAUCCUGUCUGAAUAUGGGGGGACCAUCCUCCAAGGCUAAAUACUCCUGACUGACCGAUAGUGAACCAGUACCGUGAGGGAAAGGCGAAAAGAACCCCGGCGAGGGGAGUGAAAAAGAACCUGAAACCGUGUACGUACAAGCAGUGGGAGCACAGAGCAAUCUGUGUGACUGCGUACCUUUUGUAUAAUGGGUCAGCGACUUAUAUUCUGUAGCAAGGUUAACCGAAUAGGGGAGCCGAAGGGAAACCGAGUCUUAACUGGGCGUUAAGUUGCAGGGUAUAGACCCGAAACCCGGUGAUCUAGCCAUGGGCAGGUUGAAGGUUGGGUAACACUAACUGGAGGACCGAACCGACUAAUGUUGAAAAAUUAGCGGAUGACUUGUGGCUGGGGGUGAAAGGCCAAUCAAACCGGGAGAUAGCUGGUUCUCCCCGAAAGCUAUUUAGGUAGCGCCUCGUGAAUUCAUCUCCGGGGGUAGAGCACUGUUUCGGCAAGGGGGUCAUCCCGACUUACCAACCCGAUGCAAACUGCGAAUACCGGAGAAUGUUAUCACGGGAGACACACGGCGGGUGCUAACGUCCGUCGUGAAGAGGGAAACAACCCAGACCGCCAGCUAAGGUCCCAAAGUCAUGGUUAAGUGGGAAACGAUGUGGGAAGGCCCAGACAGCCAGGAUGUUGGCUUAGAAGCAGCCAUCAUUUAAAGAAAGCGUAAUAGCUCACUGGUCGAGUCGGCCUGCGCGGAAGAUGUAACGGGGCUAAACCAUGCACCGAAGCUGCGGCAGCGACGCUUAUGCGUUGUUGGGUAGGGGAGCGUUCUGUAAGCCUGCGAAG